AUGGCCAAACAAGUGUAUGAGUGCAAUUGGGUUCCUUCUCGCGUCACGGAAUCACAGUUGGACGAUCUAGUCUUGAUCGGCGCUUUAGACAAUAAAGAUACGAUCCACUGGAGGGUUCCUGGAAAUGAAUGUCCUCCCACCCCCCAGGAAGGAGAGGUUGUGGUCUUCGCAGAUCACUUGGCCCGGGGCUUCAAACCGCCCGGCUCUAAAUUUUACCGGGAUGUGUUAGCCAAUUUUCAGCUCCGUCCACAGGAUAUUGGCCCCAACUCUGUUACCAAUCUAUGCCACUUUCAAGUGCUCUCUGAGGUAUACUUUCAAGAGGAGCCUUCAGUUGAGUUGUUUAGAGACCUCUUCCAUUUAAACCGUCGCACUGAAUUCACCGAUGGCCCCAACACUGAAUUGGGCGGUAUGGCCAUUCAGAAGAGGAAGGAGAUCACUUAUCCCCACGUCAAACUCCAUACUCACCCCAAGGAGUGGAAUGCAACUUGGUUUUAUUGCAAGGAUACCUCCCCUGACAAUGAAAAUCCCUUGCCUGGCUUCCGUCCGGAACGGCUCAGCAACACGCACCCUUUUCCACAAAGACUAAGCGCCAAGGAAAGAAUUAAAUAUGCUCCGCAACUGUCCAAGCUCUGA
rnacentral:rRNA from 1 species